rnacentral:rRNA from 1 species
UACGAAGGGGGCAAGCGUUGUUCGGAAUUACUGGGCGUAAAGGGAGUGUAGGCGGUUUAGUAAGAUAGUGGUGAAAUCCCAGAGCUUAACUUUGGAAUUGCCAUUAUAACUAUUAGACUAGAAUUACAGAGAGGAUAGUGGAAUACCCAGUGUAGAGGUGAAAUUCGUAGAUAUUGGGUAGAGCACCAGUGGCGAAGGCGACUAUCUGGCUGUACAUUGACGCUGAGGCUCGAAAGCAUGGGGAUCAAACAGG